GAACUAUGAACAAGGGUUCAACAUGGAAAUUUACUUCAACAUCAUCAUCAUCAUCACCAAUGUCAAUGAAAGGUGGUGGAUGGUCAAGGGGUACACCUUCUUCUUGUUGAACCGCUUCACCAUCAAGUUCUUCAUUUGCAGGUUCUUCAUGUACGUCACCUGCAGCUUCUUCAUGAGCUUCACCUGCAGGUUCUUGAUAACCUUCUUGUGUACCCUCUUCAUUCCCUGACCCUCAACACCUUAUUGUUCAACAUUUCGAGACUUUUGAAGAUCACUAAGUUCCUUCCUAACAACAACAACUUUAUCUCUUAGACUUCUUAUUUUUUGGUUAUUUUUUCUAAUUUUUUCCAUAGUUGCUGAUUGGGAACUUUCAUCACCUUUUUUUUCAGGUGCUUCUUCUUCACAGUUGCAACCUUAACCCUUGCCACCCCAUCCAUAUUGAAAGCAACACAGGUGAUGGGA
rnacentral:lncRNA from 1 species